AACGAACGCUGGCGGCAGGCUUAACACAUGCAAGUCGAGCGCCCCGCAAGGGGAGCGGCAGACGGGUGAGUAACGCGUGGGAAUCUACCCAUCUCUACGGAAUAACGCAUGGAAACGUGUGCUAAUACCGUAUAGGUCCUUGGGGAGAAAGAUUUAUCGGAGAUGGAUGAGCCAGCGUUGGAUUAGGUAGUUGGUGGGGUAAAGGCCUACCAAGGCGACGAUCUAUAGCUGUUCUGAGAGGAUGAUCAGCCACACUGGGACUGAGACACGGCCCAGAAUCCUACGGGAGGCAGCAGUGGGGAAUAUUGGACAAUGGGCGCAAGCCUGAUCCAGCCAUGCCGCGUGAGUGAUGAAGGCCCUAGGGUUGUAAAGCUCUUUCACCGGUGAAGAUAAUGACGGUAACCGGAGAAGAAGCCCCGGCUAACUUCGUGCCAGCCGCCGCCGUAACAC
rnacentral:rRNA from 1 species